rnacentral:lncRNA from 1 species
GCCAUAAUACCGGGUGAUGUAGGGACUGUCACACUGGCUGAGCACCGUAAUCUCCUGCUGAAUGUCCUCAAUUUCAUCCUCAGCCUCUUCCAGAUCAAUAAUCUUGAUAGCAACCACCUCCUUGGUGCGGUUGUCAAUCCCUUUAUACACUUCACCGAAUGAUCCUUUGCCAAUCCGCUCCAACUUGGUGAACAGUUCCUCAGGAUCCACCCUGGAGUGCUGGCUGGCGAAGUCCCUCAGGUGAGCCAUGCCUGCGCGAUCCGCGGGGCCGUGCGGGCGGCGCUCCUCGGCCGGCGCUCAGCUACGGCCCUCGCCCCCCCGGCGAAGCGCUCUGCGGCGCCAUGCCGGGACCCGGCGCACGGAGCCGCCGCCCGCCCGCCCUGGGACACCGAGCUCGGCCGCGGCGCCGGGCGCAACGACGCGGCGCCGAG